rnacentral:rRNA from 1 species
AUUGAACGCUGGCGGCAGGCUUAACACAUGCAAGUCGAGCGGGGUGAUGGUGCUUGCACUAUCACUUAGCGGCGGACGGGUGAGUAAUGCUUAGGAAUCUGCCUAUUAGUGGGGGACGACAUCUCGAAAGGGAUGCUAAUACCGCAUACGUCCUACGGGAGAAAGCAGGGGAUCACUUGUGACCUUGCGCUAAUAGAUGAGCCUAAGUCGGAUUAGCUAGUUGGUGGGGUAAGGCCUACCAAGGCGACGAUCUGUAGCUGGUCUGAGAGGAUGACCAGCCACACUGGGACUGAGACACGGCCCAGACUCCUACGGGAGGCAGCAGUGGGGAAUCUUGGACAAUGGGGGAAACCCUGAUCCAGCGAUGCCGCGUGUGUGAAGAAGGCCUUCGGGUUGUAAAGCACUUUAGUUGGGGAAGAAAAGUAAUAAGUAAAUAAUUUAUUGCUCUGACGGUGCCCAAAGAAUAAGCACCGGCUAACUCUGUGCCAGCAGCCGCCGUAA